UAUCCACAAGUUAAAUGCCUCCAGCCACAAUGAAUCGAAAGUUGAGGUCACAGAUCAUAAGGCUGGCGCCAUCUCUCCUGUCAGCCACACUGAUCCUGCUUUCGUAGCGGUGAUCUUUUGUGCACCAGGCAUCCCAAUCUCCGUUUCCUAGGUAACCAGAUAACGCUGUUCCCCUAAACAAAAUGAGUUGCCCAAGCCCUCCUCUUUCUUCAUUUUUCGAAAAAAAAAAAGAGAUCACAAUAUUCGCCGUCGCUGGAUCAAUAUGAGAUGGUUGAGACUUAGAAUUUGAUUCAAUGCACUGCACACGAUUUUGGAAUUAGGUUCAGGGUAGGAAGAUCACAGGAUGCAGUAGGUAUCUCCAAAAACCCGAUCCUUAGAUAUCAUAUUACGCUAGGUUCUUGCUCCUUUUGGGUUCGUUUCUGUACAAAAUGUGGAACUUUUUGCUGAAGAUUUUUGGUGCGGCAUUGGAAGGGGAAAGGGACAGAGGCGCAGGUGACGUGGGAGGAUCAGUCAGCAGAACGUCAGCAAGUUUAGAAGGUUAAACAAUCGCUUCCAUAAACUCGAGUAUUAGGUCAAGGUCGCCAAGGCAGGAAUACUGAGCAAAUUUAAUUGUGAAGUGAGGACUUGCUUGACUACUCUGCACCUUGAAAGCUUCUUGUUUGUGCCAACUGCUUGAUCCUGUUCUAUCUUGCAAAAUAUGACAUUAACAGACAUAGGACUUCAAAGCUGUAUCUUCUUUACCGUGAGGAAUAUUUGCUAUCUAAAUGUGAUGAAGCAAAUGGAAGUUUGGAAGAUGCCAGCAGUGAAUUAAUUUUGUUUGAUGAGGAUGUUGCGAGGUUCCAAAUAGGCAAGCUUUUUGCUCACAUGCCAUGGAAGAAGUUGAGAGCAGGUGGGAGAAGAUGAAUGAGGAUGCUGGCAAGGAACUAGAAUGGCUGAAAAGAAGAAAAGGAAUCAGUACUUGCUCAGAUGGCUUAGCUCAAGAAGAUCUUGUACAGGAAAGUUCGACUCCAUCAACUUAGAAGAAGAUUAAGUUGGGGCUUUUGUCACUCUGUGACCUAAUGACAUGAGAUGAGCAUGUGACAAGCAGCCGUACAUUCUGUAGAGCUUAGCCCUACAUGAUAUGUUAGGCCUCCUUGCAAUUCCCAAGUUUGAUAAUAGAAUUUCCAAGAAAAGGUUAAUGUAGUCGGUAAAAGUUCCGAAACAUCUAUAAUCCCAAACAAAAUGUUUUGAACAACAGUGUCUAAUUAAUCUGAAAAACUAUCAUGGUUAAAGAACAACCAACCACAACAUACUCAUUAGACUUUUUCUUCCAAAAUACUAUCAGAUUAUAUCAUAGAUUUCUAUUCAAUACCAAAGUCCAAUAACAAUACUAAGGUCUGAUAAAAGAAAUACAGCUUAUCCCUAGGCUCUCCAAGGCACAGCCAACGACCCUUAUGGACUGUAGCUGGAGAGUCUAGGGAUAAGCUGUGUUUCUUUAUGGGACCUUAAUUGGAUGUUAAUGUGAAAACCAUUUUGUUUUGGAUUGUAGAUGCUUUUAGUCACUACCUUCUUUUGUGACUAUAAUAAUCCUUUCUUGGAAGUUCUGUUAUCAGACUUAAGAACUGCAGGCCUACAUGGCAUGUCCUGUAGGGCUCUGCGCUUGUCCUUGUUCUACACCAUCUCUUGAAUCCUUUUAAGAUUGCUUUUAGUAAGUUGUCGCUUGUUGCCAGAAAUGCAUUAAUCUGCUUUUCUUUUUGAUUGGCAUGGUGACCCUUUUUUUUCCUUUUCCGCCGUGGUGGACUUGGCCCGUGUCCUUUGUUUCAUUGUCGUUUGAUGUUUUGCACCCAAUAAAAUUAUGUUCAUGUAUAGUUAUAUAUAUGCUUAA